rnacentral:misc_RNA from 1 species
CAGAGAUAUAUAUUUUCAAUCAUCUAUGUUUAUUUAUUUCUUUUUGCAAGGCUAUAAAGUAAACAUAUGGAAUAGGAUCUUAUGAAUGCAAACAAAAGCCUUUAAAUAUAACAAGCAUAUCAAGAAAGGAGGUUGCACUUGAAAAUUAAUUGCAUGCUUAACCAAAAAAAAAAGUUCAAGAACUUUUUGAACUUUUUUGGAGGUAAAAAAGAGGAAAGGGGGAGUACAAGCUGCGAAAAAGGGAGGUGAUGCUAAUAGACAACGUUAUUGAAUAACUUUAUCCAAUUUCAUCACAAGGUUUCCGGCCUUGAUAUAAUAAAUCUGUUUAUUGUAUCAGCAGGAAGAGAUAUAAGAUUUUUCCCGCUGAUGAUUAUUUAGUAAGCAGCAUAUGAUGCAAGAAAGAUGACACGACUCUAGAAAAAUUUUGAAUCACAAUGGUUUAUCUUAAAUCAGUUAAUUAAAAGAAAAUUUCCACAUAGAAUUUGCCAAAAUGACCUAAUUCAGUUGAAGGUUUUGAAACAAAUAGAGCAUUGUGACAUUGUGUGCAAGCCAUAAACUCACUGUACAUAAUUACACACAAAUAUAAACCACUAUAAAUAUUACACUUAUUACAGAUUUAUUCUUAUUAUUUCUGAAGUAACCACAAAUAUAAGCGAUCAUAUUAGAUAAAUGGAGAUCCCUUUUCCAAAAGUCAUGCGGUUAUGAUUCUAAUUAUCUUAACAUUAUUGGUCUAAAACAUGAUAAUCAGGAGCAUAAGAGUAACAAAUCAUAAAAUAGGCAGACCU